UACGGAGGGGGCUAGCGUUGUUCGGAAUUACUGGGCGUAAAGCGCACGUAGGCGGCUUUGUAAGUUAGAGGUGAAAGCCCAGGGCUCAACCCUGGAAUUGCCUUUAAGACUGCAUCGCUUGAACAUCGGAGAGGUAAGUGGAAUUCCGAGUGUAGAGGUGAAAUGCGUAGAUAUCUGAAGGAACAUCAGUGGCGAAAGCGACUUCCUGGACCAAUACUGACGCUCAUGUGCGAAAGCGUGGGGAGCAAACAGG
rnacentral:rRNA from 1 species